GCGUUGUCCGGAUUCAUUGGGCGUAAAGAGCUCGUAGGCGGUUCGAUAAGUCGGGUGUGAAACCUCCAGGCUCAACCUGGAGACGCCACCCGAUACUGUCGUGACUAGAGUCCAGUAGGGGAGCGUGGAAUUCCUGGUGUAGCGGUGAAAUGCGCAGAUAUCAGGGGGAACACCAGGGGCGAAGGCGGCGCUCUGGGCUGGAACUGACGCUGAGGAGCGAAAGCGU
rnacentral:rRNA from 1 species